rnacentral:rRNA from 1 species
GACAGAGGUGGCAAGCGUUGUUCGGAUUCAUUGGGCGUAAAGAGCGUGUAGGCGGCCCGGUAAGUCCGCUGUGAAAGUCGGGGGCUCAACCCUCGAAUGCCGGUGGAUACUGUCGGGCUAGAGUGCGGAAGAGGCGAGUGGAAUUCCUGGUGUAGCGGUGAAAUGCGCAGAUAUCAGGAGGAACACCAAUUGCGAAGGCAGCUCGCUGGGACGUAACUGACGCUGAGACGCGGAAGCGUGGGGAGCAAACAGG